AGUCGUAACAAGGUAUCCGUAGGUGAACCUGCGGAUGGAUCAUUAACAAAGAUAUCCUUAACGUACUGUGAACUGUCUAGAACUCUGGGGUCAAAAGAUUACUCUUGUUGUGAGGGUCAAAUCUCACAAGAAGAGCCUGCUCCUGGCCUCAUAUCACGUAAUAUACCCUUAAACUAAAGUCAAGUUGCUUAUGAACUUAAACAACUUUUAGCAAUGGAUCUCUUGGCUCUC
rnacentral:misc_RNA from 1 species